GGACCGGGUGGCUGCCAGGUAGUGCUUUGAACCUCGGAGGGUUUAUAGUCCCUGAGGUCUCAUUGACCUGUCCCCAGAGUGAGGGACUGCCCCGGUAAACAGCACUAGGACUCUUUGCUUAUCUGGCCUCGAGGGUUCGCGCGUCAUGGUGCACCGCCCACUUGGUUCCCAGGUUAGGAGUGGGCCCUCUACGCUGCAGGAUUCGGUGUGAACGCUGGAAUUUAGUGAUGAGUCAUCUUCGGUACAGCAAUUCCAGGAAUGUAAAGGCCCGGGAUUAACCAGGCCGACUUCAAAAUGCAAAGACAGCUGGACCAGAAUAGAAAAUCACAACCCCUGGAUCCUACCUUGGGUUCUCUUAUUAAAUAAACCUUUGUCCUUGGACAAGGGAUUUGAUUUGUUUCUCCAUCCAUAAAGUAUGGAUAAUACUUGCCCUGUUUAAUCUACAAGGUUCAUUUCUUUUUUAAGCAUGAUAAAACUACCUCUGGAUUCAGAUAGGCGUUCUGAAGCCCUGCUUUCAUUACUUCAAUCCAUCUCUCUCCCUCCUCCGCUGACCCCUGUCUCCUGCUGGUUACCAGAUGAAGAAUGUCUUGCUUUUUGGUGAGCAUCAAUAUAUUGCUGCUGGUUCAUGAUGCAGGCAAUGUUGAAGAACAGAUGGGAAAAUCUAACAGUUCAACAAAUUGUAAAGCAUUGUUUACGUUUUAAAUGAGAACCACUACCUCUACCCCCAAUUUGGUUUGUCUAUUUGAGUAUAUACUAAUUACACUUGUUCACACUUAUGCUUUGAACUUAUCUAACUGAAACAAAAAUAUCUAGACAUUCUUCCCCACUUCACGUCCCUCUGACAAGUGUCGAUUUCAGGUAGUGUAUCACAGAAUAUUUGAUAUCAGACCUGUCCUGAAAGACCUGGAUGGGCAGUCA